rnacentral:tRNA from 1 species
UCCAGGGUAGCCUAGUGGACAUGGCAUCUGCCCGGUAAAUGGAACAUUGUGGGUUCGAUUCCCAUCCCUGGAC